UGGCAGCCAGCUAAGCCAGCCAGCUCCCUUCCUUCACAGGGACCUGGUGUGCAGCGGCUGCCAACAGCCUUCUCCUCGGUACUUAGGCAGCCUGUGGCGUGGAUGAGUUGCCCUAAGGGAGCUUGGAGACAGCC